rnacentral:rRNA from 1 species
GACAGAGGGUGCAAACGUUGUUCGGAAUUACUGGGCGUAAAGCGUGUGUAGGUGGCUGCGAAAGUCGGAUGUGAAAGCCCUGGGCUCAACUCAGGAAGUGCACCCGAUACUGCGUAGCUCGAGUACCGGAGAGGUUGGUAGAAUUCUCGGUGUAGAGGUGAAAUUCGUAGAUAUCGAGAGGAAUACCUGUGGCGAAAGGCGGCCAACUGGACGAGUACUGAGCUAAGGCGCGAAAAGCGUGGGGAGCGAACAGG